rnacentral:rRNA from 1 species
UCCAGACUCCUACGGGAGGCAGCAGUGGGGAAUAUUGCACAAUGGGCGCAAGCCUGAUGCAGCCAUGCCGCGUGUAUGAAGAAGGCCUUCGGGUUGUAAAGUACUUUCAGUUGUGAGGAAGGGGGUGUUGUUAAUAGCAACAUCUCUUGACGUUAGCAACAGAAGAAGCACCGGCUAACUCCGUGCCAGCAGCCGCGGUAAUACGGAGGGUGCGAGCGUUAAUCGGAAUUACUGGGCGUAAAGCGCAUGCAGGUGGUUCAUUAAGUCAGAUGUGAAAGCCCGGGGCUCAACCUCGGAACUGCAUUUGAAACUGGUGAACUAGAGUACUGUAGAGGGGGGUAGAAUUUCAGGUGUAGCGGUGAAAUGCGUAGAGAUCUGAAGGAAUACCAGUGGCGAAGGCGGCCCCCUGGACAGAUACUGACACUCAGAUGCGAAAGCGUGGGGAGCAAACAGGAUUAGAUACCCUGGUAGUCCACGCCGUAAACGAUGUCUACUUGGAGGUUGUGGCCUUGAGCCGUGGCUUUCGGAGCUAACGCGUUAAGUAGACCGCCUGGGGAGUACGGUCGCAAGAUUAAAACUCAAAUGAAUUGACGGGGGCCCGCACAAGCGGUGGAGCAUGUGGUUUAAUUCGAUGCAACGCGAAGAACCUUACCUACUCUUGACAUCCAGAGAAUCCAGCGGAGACGCAGGAGUGCCUUCGGGAG